rnacentral:misc_RNA from 1 species
UCUAUUCUCCAAAGCUAAUUCUUGGAAAAAGACUGAAACAGGUGAGAUUAUUUGUUAUUUUAUACAAUUUACUUUCAUAAUGUGUUGUUUCUUUGUAAUAGUAAGGUUAAUUUUUUUUACUAUAUGUCUACAUCUAGCAUUCUAGAUUCUACUUCUGUAGUAUCCACUAUUAUCAGGCGCGCCCCCGGCGCACCACCUCACAAAGGCGCACCAAGGCGUACUGAGGGGCAAGGCGCACCGAGGCGCGCCCCAGUGAGUUAAGGUGCUGGAUAUAUAAGCUAGGGUUUUUUUUUUUUUUAAACUUGUCCAGCAGCCAGCAAAAAGAAAAAAAGAAUAAG